rnacentral:rRNA from 1 species
UACGGGGGGAGCAAGCGUUGUUCGGAUUUACUGGGCGUAAAGGGCGCGUAGGCGGUCAGCACAAGUCAGUUGUGAAAUCUCCGGGCUUAACUCGGAAAGGUCAACUGAUACUGUGCGACUAGAGUGCAGAAGGGGCAACUGGAAUUCUCGGUGUAGCGGUGAAAUGCGUAGAUAUCGAGAGGAACACCUGCGGCGAAGGCGGGUUGCUGGGCUGACACUGACGCUGAUGCGCGAAAGCGUGGGGAGCGAACAGG